UGCCAAUAUUAAGGCAAAAAUAUCAUUGUUUUAACAUCUGUUAAUACAUAUUUCAAUUAACUCCAUCAAUUGAGACUGUGAAGUACUUGCUUUUAUUUGUUUUCCUUGCACUAAAGGCAUAAAAGCAAUUGAAGUUCACUGUCAGAAUUGUGAAGUGUAUGUACAAAACAGUAAGAGUAAUGAAACAAAAUUAAAAUGGGAAAGAGCUUUAAAUUAUGUUCCUGAUGAGAAAUGGAGCGGAUCACUCUCUGAGGGUCACCAAAAAUUUUGGUGCGGGAAGUGAAUGAUAAAGUGAAAAUGAAAAGACAUUUCACAAUUUCAAGUUCCUCAAGUUUUAAGAAGUGUUCUCUGUGACAUUUUUAUUGAAUGUUUAUACUAUUGAGGAACAUGGUUUGUUGCAUAACAAUAUGUCCCUCUACAUGCAGCAAAACGAACUCAAGAUCUCAUCACAGCAUUUUGCUAUGAACAAAUUGAUAAGCCUCCAAACAGCUCCAAUUUACCAAAUGACCAUAAUCUGUUUUUUCAACAGAAGCAUCUUGAAGGAUAGCGCCCUAAUGACAAUGGCGUAAAAAUAAUUGUGUCACAGCUGCUGUUAAAUCAGGCAGCAAUCUUCUCUCACAACGACAUGUGGAAACAGCCUCAAUGUGACUAACGCCAAAUGUGAUGCUAUGAGAGGAACUCUCGCUCCAAGUCAGUGAUGGAAGGUCGCCUAUUGCGUGAAGUCUCACGUUUGCGGGCCUGCAGAGGUACCGUCACGUCCUGCGUCUGUCCAUGCGUUGGUAGAUCCAGCAGGUUGGUAGCAGUGAUGGGAGAGAACCGCACACGAGACACGGAGUUGGAGGAACUCUCCUUGGCAGAGACGUAGCUGCUGUCCUCGCUGGUGAGGCUAUCUGGUGGCGUGGGGUUGGUUGGUGUUCCUGCAUUGAUAACAUAUUCAAUAAUACUGGAAAAUUAAUAUCACUAAAGUAAUUAGUUUAUCUCUCAGCAAUGAAUAAACGAUUCUUCAAAGUA